rnacentral:rRNA from 1 species
UGAAUACGAGACGCUAAGGCGUCGAAGUAGUGUAUGUCAUACUUCCAAGAAAAGCUUGCACUGUCAUAAGUAAAAAAUGCCUGUACCAUAACCGACACAGGCGGGUAGGCAGAGUAUACUAAGGGGCGCGAGAUAACUCUCUCUAAGGAACUCGGCAAAAUAACUCCGUAACUUCGGGAGAAGGAGUACCUUAUUCUAUAAGGUUGCAAUAACAAGAUCCAAGCAACUGUUUAUCAAAAACACAGGUCUCCGCUAAGUCGUAAGACGAUGUAUGGGGGCUGACGCCUGCCCAGUGCCAGAAGGUUAAAGAAGUCGGUUAGCAUUAGCGAAGCUGGUAACUGAAGCCCUGGUGAACGGCGGCCGUAACGAUAACGGUCCUAAGGUAGCGAAAUUCCUUGUCGGGUAAGUUCCGACCCGCACGAAAGGCGUAAUGAUUUGGAUACUGUCUCGGAGAGGGGCUCGGUGAAAUAGACUUGUCUGUGAAGAUGCGGACUACCUGCACCAGGACAGAAAGACCCUAUGAAGCUUUACUGUAACUUGAAAUUGAAAUUGGACUUUAUUCGCGCAGUAUAGGUGGGAGGUGUUGAUUAUAAUCUUGCGGGAUUAUUGGAGCCAUCAGUGAGAUACCACUCUUGUAAUGUUAGAUUUCUAACUUUGAAUCAUUAUCUGGUCAAAGGACAGUUUCAGGCGGGCAGUUUGACUGGGGCGGUUGCCUCCCAAACGGUAACGGAGGCGUACAAAGGUUUCCUCUGAACGGGUAGAAAUCGUAUCUAGAGUGUAAAGGCAUAAGGAAGCUUGACUGUGAGACCUACAAGUCGAACAGGGACGAAAGUCGGUCUUAGUGAUCUGACGGUACUGAGUGGAAAGGCCGUCACUCAACGGAUAAAAGUUACUCUAGGAUAACAGGCUGAUCUCCCCCAAGAGUUCACAUCGACGGGGAGGUUUGGCACCUCGAUGUCGGCUCAUCGCAUCCUGGGGCGGUAGUACGUCCCAAGGGUUGGGCUGUUCGCCCAUGAAAGCGGUACGCGAGCUGGGUUCAGAACGUCGUGAGACAGUUCGGUCCAUAUCCGGUGUAGGCGUUAGAAUAUUGAGAGGAGCCUUCUUUAGUACGAGAGGACCGAGAAGGACAUACCUCUGGUGUACCAGUUAUCGUGCCAACGGUAAACGCUGGGUAGCUAUGUAUGGAGUGGAUAACCGCUGAAAGCAUCUAAGUGGGAAGCCCACCUCAAGAUAAGUA